rnacentral:lncRNA from 1 species
CAGCAACGCUGGAUCCGAGCCGCGUCUGCAACCUACACCACAGCUCACGGCAACGCCGGAUGAUUAACCCACUAAGCAAGGGCAGGGACCGAACCCGCAAUCUCAUGGUUCCUAGUCGGAUUCGUUAACCACUGCGCCACGACGGGAACUCCGGAUUAUAUAUUUAUAAUCACUUAUACAUGGAAUCCAAAAAUUAAAACGAACAAAUAUAACAAAAUAGAAACAGACUCAUAAAUACAGACAACUGAUGGUUACCAGAGGAGAGGGGGUAAGGGAAUGAAUGAAGUAGCUGAGGGAUAUUAAGAGGUAUAAACUUCAAGUCAAAAAAUAAAUAAGUCAUGGAGAUGUAAUAUACAGCGUAGAGAAUACAGUCAAUAAUACUGUAAGAACCUUGUAUGGUGACAGAUGAUAACUAGACUUAUGGCGGUCAAUUUGCAAUGUGCAAACUAGUGAAUUAUGAUGUAUACCUGCAACUAUAUAAUACAGUAAGUCAAUUAUACUUCAAUUUAAAAACACUGGUAAAUAAUGCUGAGCAGCCUCAGUAUGUCUUCUGAAAGCUUACAGUAUAUGGAGAAAAUUUCUAUUUUUAAAUCAAUUUUAUUGAGAUGUAAUUUACCUACAAUACCAAUUUUACACGUAUAAUUCACUGAGUUUUGACAAAUGUAUAUAGUCACAUAAACACCAUCUCUCUAAUUAUGAUACAGUAUAUUUUCAUCACCCUACAUUAGUUUUUUUUUUCAGUUAUUUUUGGCUGCUGUGUGCAGCAGCUUGGUGGGGGAUCUCAGUUCCCAGACCAGGGCUCAAACUCAGGCCACAGGGUGAAAAUACUGAGUCCUAAUCAUUAGACCACAAGGGAACUCUCAGUUUUUUUUUUAAAGGGUGAAAACACAAAAUAAUUACAAAUUGCAAUAAGAGCUAGGAAGGAUAAAGACGCAGGAAGUAGUCUAUAAUACAUAGAUUACUAAUUGUAAUUUUGGGAGUAUUAACUUAAAAAAUUACAGAUUUUCAAAUUCAUAGAGACUUUGAAGCUCAUCACAUUCAGUUUCCAUAAGGAACCUAAGGCAUCAAUAAUUAAAAUGCUGUGAUCAAGGCAAGAGGCAAAGGCAAAAUCUAGACCUGAACACAGGUUUCCUAACUCCAUAUCCUACAUCCAUUCUUCAUUCAACUUUCACUGAGCAUCUGCUAUGAUUAGGAACUAUGCUCAGUGCUGAAGAAGAGUCAAAAAUUAAAAACACCCCUUCCCACCUCUCAAACUGCUAACCAUCCCAGAAGGGACAUAAGCAUGCAAAAAAAAGAAUCACCAAAAGAUAAAUGAUAUAAAAGACGUUUGCAAAAUUCUGUAGCAUCAAGAAGGGAGACCCUAACUCUGCUUAGGAAGAUCUUGGAUGGCUUCACUUCAGCCAAAUCAUAUGAAAUGAGUAAGAUUUGUCCUGUAAGACGAAAAGAAGGACAGCACUUCAGAAAGAGUAAAGCAAAGGUGCAGGAAAAAAACCAGUGUGAAAGAACACUGUAUGUUCAGGGUAUAAGUAUAAAAAGUAUCGGGAUUCCUCUACUUUUGAGCUUUAUUUUUCUUAUUUUCAUCAAAGUAAUACAUGCACAUGGUAAAGUAGUACUAAAAGACUUAAAACAGUCCUACUGGCAAACUCUCUCCUGGUCACGCCACCAUCAAGGCUUUCCCAUUCCCAGAUGUAACCACAUUAUGCACAUUCAGCUGUUGCUUUUGGCAUUUAACUCCGUGUUUCUAAAUCAUGAGUAUAUACUGAUAUAUUGGUAUCCUCCAUGGUAUGAGAAUUUUCAUUUUAUCUCCACUUCACCUUCCCCACCACGGUUGAAAUAUUAUUUGGGGCUAUAUAAUUGUUUUUAUAAGGACUAAAUAAAUAUUGCUUACUAAUCAAAGCAUUAUACUGUAUUUCCUUUACGUAACAACUUUUUUCUAAAGUUGAUCUGCAUGCACUUUAUUAUUCUUUUUCAGUCUCUGGGUAAAUCUUCCCCUACAUUCCAAUAGCUCUAGAGACAUUCAAUACAAUUUUUCUUAAAGUCAAGCCUAUCAGGUAAUUUUUUCUUUCCUGUGGUUAUGCCCCUGCUCCAAUCUUUACUGGACCCCUGGGCUAUCGUAGGAAUUACUUUCCUUCACAGUUAUUCAGUCAUUGCUCUAUAUCUUCUAGUUUCUAAUGCUGCUAUUGAGAAAUCUGAUUCCAUUCUUAUUCCUGAACUUUAUAUGUGAUUUUUUUUCAUCCUCCAGAAGUAUAUGAGUUAGGAUGGUAUUUAGUUGCAGGUAAAAGAAAAUCCAACAUAUAAUAGCUUAACCAAAUAGGGAAUCUCCCCAUCCCCCAAUGUCACAAGAAAUCCAGAGAUGUGUAGUGACUGACAUCAUAGAUUCAUCAAUUCAAGCAUAUCAGACUUGAGAUUUGAUGGACAAAAAAUGACUACUGUAACUCCAGUCACUUUGGUCACAUUCCAGGUAGAAGAGGAAAGAGAAGUAUAGCCUAUAUCAGAAAACAAAAUUCUUCUAGACAUUCUUCAGCACACUUCUAUUUAACAUUUAAAAGACUAACACUUUAUCACACAUGCAUACUUAGCUACAAGGAAGUUUAAAAACGCAAGUUUUUUAUCUUUUCAGCCUCUUAAAUUAAGAAAAGUAAGGGUGGAGUUCCCACUGUGGCACAGUGGGUUAAGGAUCCGACUGCUGCAGUUCAAGUCACUGCAGAGGCACAAGUUUGAUCCCCGGCCUGGAAACAUCCAUAUGCCACAGGUGCAGGGAAGGAAGGAAGGAAGGAAGGAAGGAAGGAAGGAAGGAAAUCAAAGGUAACAGGAGGGAGCUCCCGUCAUGGCGCAUUUUUAAGUCUACUGCUCCCAAAGCAUUCACUGUGAUCAUAUCCUUUAUCAUACGGUACUAUGUUUUCUAAGCCUUUUUUUACAAAUUGAAAGAUUUGUAAAAAUGAAAACUCACC